GAUGAAGAACGUAGCGAAAUGCGAUACUUGGUGUGAAUUGCAGAAUCCCGUGAACCAUCGAGUCUUUGAACGCAAGUUGCGCCCGAAGCCAUUAGGCCGAGGGCACGCCUGCCUGGGCGUCACACGUCGUUGCCCCCCCAUCUACUCCUUCGGGAUUGCGGGGGGCGGAUGAUGGCCUCCCGUGCGCCUCGUCGCGCGGUUGGCAUAAAUGCCAAGUCCUCGGCGACGCACGCCACGACAAUCGGUGGUUGCGAAACCUCGGUUGCCCGUCGUGUGCGGUCGUCGCGCAUCGAGGGCUCGAAAAAAUUGCCGGGCUCCGGCUCGGCUUUCAACGCGACCCCAGGUCAGGCGGGGUUACCCGCUGAAUUUAAGAAUAUCAAUAAGCGGAGGA
rnacentral:misc_RNA from 1 species